rnacentral:rRNA from 1 species
AUUAUCUUAAUCGUAAAGUUAUCGACGUUAAUUUUAAUGGGGGAGUUGAAAUCUACUCAUUCUAGGAAUGAAAGUUGGAAGAUUCUACAAUUUUAGAUAGAGCAACACCUUGAAGGCUUUAGAAAUUAAGUGCCAGCACUAGCGGUCAUACUUAAAAGCCGAGUUAAUUAAAUGAAAGUAACACUUUGAGUAUAAAUAAUAAGGUUAAAUUAGAAGUGGAAUUCAUAUUUUACACCUUCACGUAAAGUAGAGUGAUAAAUCUCCACAAUAAACUAGGAUUAGAUACCCUACUAUUGGUUACAUAACUUAAAACUAAGAGAGUAGUUGAUAUGGUCAUGAAAUCCAGCUAAUCGUGGCAGUUGAAUUUCCGGUUAGAGGCACAUGCAUUUAAACGAAAUUGCACGUAAAUCUUACCCUCUCUUAUAUUUUGUACACCGCUGUCUUAAGACCUUAAAUUAGAUUUAUAGUCACAAAUUCUUUCACAGAAGUAAGUCAAGUCAAGGUGCAGACGAUGAGGGGGUUAGUGUGUGUGUCAUUGAUUGAAUGGGAACUGGGCCCUAAAAUGGGUCUAAUUUAGAAUUUAAUAGUAAUGGGGGUUCAAAACACUCUUGUGAAAUGGUAACUUUCUAGGUACAAAUCGCCCGUCACUCCUCGAAUAGAGGAUAAGUCGUAACACAGUUGACCUACCGGAAGGUGGGUCAGG